CCAAUAGCGUAUAUUAAAGUUGUUGCAGUUAAAAAGCUCGUAGUUGAAUUUCGGAAUCAGUACGCCGGUCGUGCCUCCGGUAUGAACUGGUGUCACUGGUUCCUCCCUUCUGAAGAACCAUCAUGCCAUUCACUUGGUGUGGUGGGAAAUCAGGACUGUUACUUUGAAAAAAAUUAGAGUGUUUAAAGCAGGCUCACGCUUGAAUACAUUAGCAUGGAAUAAUGAAAUAGGACGUUGAUCUUAUUUUGUUGGUUUCUAGGAUUGACGUAAUGAUUAAUAGGGAUAGUUGGGGGCAUUAGUAUUCAAUUGUCAGAGGUGAAAUUCUUGGAUUUAUUGAAGACUAACUACUGCGAAAGCAUUUGCCAAGGAUGUUUUCAUUAAUCAAGAACGAAAGUUAGGGGAUCGAAGACGAUCAGAUACCGUCGUAGUCUUAACCAUAAACUAUGCCGACUAGGGAUCGGAUGAUGUUAAUUUUUUAAUGACUCAUUCGGCGCCUUACG
rnacentral:rRNA from 1 species